UACGGAGGGGGUUAGCGUUGUUCGGAAUUACUGGGCGUAAAGCGCGCGUAGGCGGACUAUUAAGUCAGAGGUGAAAUCCCAGGGCUCAACCCUGGAACUGCCUUUGAUACUGGUAGUCUUGAGUUCGAGAGAGGUGAGUGGAAUUCCGAGUGUAGAGGUGAAAUUCGUAGAUAUUCGGAGGAACACCAGUGGCGAAGGCGGCUCACUGGCUCGAUACUGACGCUGAGGUGCGAAAGUGUGGGGAGCAAACAGG
rnacentral:rRNA from 1 species